rnacentral:rRNA from 1 species
UACAGAGGGGCAAGCGUUGUUCGGAAUUACUGGGCGUAAAGGGCGCGUAGGCGGCCUGUUAAGUCGAACGUGAAAUCCCCGGGCUCAACCCGGGAACUGCGUCCGAUACUGGCAGGCUUGAAUUCGGGAGAGGGAUGCGGAAUUCCAGGUGUAGCGGUGAAAUGCGUAGAUAUCUGGAGGAACACCGGUGGCGAAGGCGGCAUCCUGGACCGAUAUUGACGCUGAUGCGCGAAAGCCAGGGAGCAAA